rnacentral:misc_RNA from 1 species
GAAGUGCGAAAAGUGUCAUGACUUGCAGAUUCCCGAGAGCUGACAAAUCUCUGAAUGCAAACGGCGGACCGGUAAAAACGGCCAUGUAUUGCAGAGUGUAGUUGUUCCUACUCUUCAUCCCCCACAUCUGUAUAUAUCCUCGAUGCAAUGUGGUGUUUGGGAUCUGCGCUUGCAAUGAUGUACAUACGUUGCGAGUGUUGAAUUGGAGUGUCUACACAUGGAUUCUCAGAAAUGGGAAUAACCUGUAGACAGCUUCGCAAGCGAAUGCAUAUAGAUGUGAAGUUGAAUACUCUCCAAUCUUAUCUACACCUACCUCUGCAAUGCAAGAGAACCCGCUGAACUUAA